rnacentral:rRNA from 1 species
UACAGAGGGGGCAAGCGUUAUUCGGAAUUAUUGGGCGUAAAGGGCUUGUAGGCGGUUUUUCAAGUGACGGGUGAAAUCCCUCGGCUUAACCGAGGAACUGCCUGUCAGACUGGAAGGCUUGAGACCGGGAGAGGUGAGUGGAAUUCCCAGUGUAGCGGUGAAAUGCGUAGAUAUUGGGAGGAACACCAGUGGCGACGGCGGCUCACUGGACCGGAACUGACGCUGAGGCGCGAAAGCGUGGGGAGCAAACAGG